rnacentral:rRNA from 1 species
GGGUCAUUUGGUUGGUCGUGCCACCGGUACGUACUGGUCUCACUGAUUCCUCCUUCCUGAAGAACCGUAAUGCCAUUAAUUUGGUGUUGCGGGGAAACAGGACUGUUACUUUGAAAAAAUUAGAGUGUAUAAAGCAAGCUAACGCUUGAAUACAUCAGCAUGGAAUAAUGAAAUAGGACGAUCGAUCCUAUUUUGUUGGUUUCUAGGAUUGACGUA